GACGGAAGGUGCAAGCGUUGCUCGGAAUCACUGGGCGUAAAGGGCUCGUAGGCGGCCAACUAAGUCAGACGUGAAAUCCCUCGGCUUAACCGGGGAACUGCAUCUGAUACUGGAUGGCUUGAGUUCGGGAGAGGGAUGCGGAAUUCCAGGUGUAGCGGUGAAAUGCGUAGAUAUCUGGAGGAACACCGGUGGCGAAGGCGGCAUCCUGGACCGACACUGACGCUGAGGAGCGAAAGCCAGGGGAGCGAACGGG
rnacentral:rRNA from 1 species